AGAUUACUACUUUGUAACCAGGGAGGUGAUGCAGCGUGACAUAGCAGCCGGCGACUUCAUCGAGCAUGCCGAGUUCUCGGGGAACCUGUAUGGCACGAGCAAGGCGGCGGUGCAGGCCGUGCAGGCCAUGAACCGCAUCUGCGUGCUGGACGUGGACCUGCAGGGUGUGCGGAACAUCAAGGCCACCGAUCUGCGGCCCAUCUACAUCUCUGUGCAGCCGCCUUCACUGCAUGUGCUGGUGUGUGCUGGGCAGGGUUGGGGGCUGGGGGCCAGGGCAUGCCAGGCUCUGAUUGCCACCCCCUUUUUAGGAGCAGCGGCUGCGGCGGCGCAACACUGAAACGGAGGAGAGCCUGGCGAAGCGGCUGGCUGCUGCCCAGGCCGACAUGGAGAGCAGCAAGGAGCCUGGCCUGUUUGAUGUGGUCAUCGUUAAUGACAGCCUGGACCAGGCCUACGCAGAGCUGAAGGAGGCGCUCUCUGAGGUGGGCCCAUCCUUGUGCUACCUGGGCAAGGCCCAAGGGGAGGCCUGGGGGCCAGGCCUUUGUUGUCCAUGAGGCCACUGAGGUCAGAUGGGACAGUCCUACCCAAGCACUGGCAUGAGACACCGAGGUCCAUGGUGGAGGGAGAGCAGGAAGCCCAGCCCUUCCUGGAUACCAGCCCUCCCAACUCCCUUUCUUCCUCACUGGCAGGAAAUCAAGAAAGCUCAAAGGACCGGCGCCUGAGGCUUGCUCUCUGUUCUCGGCACCCCGGGCCCAUACAGGACCAGGGCAGCAGCACUGAGCCGCCCCCUUGGCAGGC
rnacentral:sRNA from 1 species